rnacentral:rRNA from 1 species
UACGUAGGGGGCAAGCGUUGUCCGGAAUUAUUGGGCGUAAAGAGCGUGUAGGCGGUCCGGUAAGUCAGCUGUGAAAGUCAAGGGCUCAACCCUUGAAUGCCGGUUGAUACUGUCGGGCUAGAGUCCGGAAGAGGCGAGUGGAAUUCCCGGUGUAGCGGUGAAAUGCGCAGAUAUCGGGAGGAACACCAAUGGCGAAGGCAGCUCGCUGGGACGGUACGGACGCUGAGACGCGAAAGCGUGGGGAGCAAACAGG